UGCAACCGAGCAGAGACUGCUUGUGAUUAGC
rnacentral:piRNA from 1 species